GAGCCGCGCGGGGGAGAAUGGGGGUGGUGAGGAAGGGGCCCAGCCACCUUCUGCCCUUCCCCCUCCCAAGUCUCUCUUCUGCAGGAGGCAGAGACCGCUCAGAUAUGUCCCAGUACUCGGAGACUGGGAGGGUGCAGGAGCUCUCCCCUUGCCUCCUUGGUGCCUCUAGCCUGGCUCUCUUACUGACCUUUGCGCCUGGAGGGGUGGGCCGGCCACUGCGCAGCCCUGGGCUGCCUACCUGGGAAUCAGUUGGUAUGGAUACCCCCCUACCCGGGCAGCUCAACAGGAUUGUCCCUUAGGGCUGGGAGACUGUGACUGUACCCGGGGUGAGUUCUGCGCGUGAGACACUGUGCUCCCGGCGGUCCAUUCAUCCAGGCGAUGGUGCUUCUGAAAGGGCUAGAAACACCAUUCCUCUUCCUUACCGCCGACAAGAGUGCAUUUUCCAGCCAAUAUUUGGUCUUACUUCGGACAUAAAAGAAGCUAGUGGGAGCUAUUUUGCAAACAGGAUUUUCUAGCUGUCUGCCUGAUUAAGCAGCUUGUUCGAGUCCUGUAAUUUGGUGCUGCCAAAACUACCCUGACAUUUCUCUUCUGCUCAGUUUUUGGGGAAAACACUAACUGGCAAACUUAAAUGGCUUUGAAUUUGGUUCUAGUCAGUGGAUCUCACAUACCACACAACCGGACAGGCAGAUUGGUUUCCUUUUUAUUUUCUUAGAAUGUGGUUUCCAUAUCUGUGCAAUGGGGGAACUGCCUGGGAGUUUAUUACAUAUGCUAUUUCCUAAUUGUUUUGUAGAAAAAUAUGUCUUAACCAGAGGGGAGGCUGUCAGGAGAAACAGUAGCAGAGAAAAUAUAUACCACAGAUACUUGGAUUAAUUUCCGUGAAUUAAUGUACUUAACACUAGGAAUGGAAUUGGCUUUGGGAUGAGCAUGACUACCCUCCGCCGUGUGGUGUUAGGUUCUUAGCCUCCUACUCAUUUUUAAGCACUAGAGGUGUCCAUUUAGCCACAGUGCAAAGCAAUCUUUUUACAUAAAUAAAAUGCUAAUGUUCUUUCUUACGCAAUUAAUGUGAAUGAGGGACUUAUUGAUGACAGUAAAAAUAGUGCAUCCAAAAAUAUCUCCAAGGGCAAUAUUAAGCUAUAAAAUGUCAUCCUUAAAUUAUCUUUUUUUUUUUUUUUUGUCUUUUGUCUUUUUUGUUGUUGUUGUUGCUAUUUCUUGGGCCGCUCCCGCGGCAUAUGGAGGUUCCCAGGCUAGGGGUUGAAUCGGAGCUGUAGCCACCGGCCUACGCCAGAGCCACAGCAACGCGGGAUCCGAGCUGCGUCUGCAACCUACACCACAGCUCACGGCAACGCCGGAUCGUUAACCCACUGAGCAAGGGCAGGGACCGAACCCGCAACCUCAUGGUUCCUAGUCGGAUUCGUUAACCACUGUGCCACGACGGGAACUCCCUAUCUUUUAAUUUUUUAUAGUGUUGCAGAUGCCUGUUUUAUUCACUUCAGCAGCAGCAACUGACUCCCGGAGCAGGAACUGUCUGCUAGUGGCUUGAAAUAAUUAAUUUUCUCCCUAAAUAUUUAAUUUAACCUGCCAGUGAAAUGCUAGGGGUGUAUGUUAUCCACUAAAGUAGAAUACGAGUACACUUCCUUGUCACACAGAUUUGUUCAUAUAACAGAAUAUUGAGAUAGUAAAUUUGAAACAAUAUAUGUUUAGCCUAGUUAGACAGUGCUACUCUGGUGUGUCUGAGAAGUACUAUGAAAAAUUAUUUUUAAUUGAAACCGGUAAAAUUCCAUUUUAUCUGAAUGAAAGAGGCAUUCUAUUCCAUAAUACCCCUGUCUUGUCCAAAGGAUAUUUAAUAAUAAAACUUUUAUUGGUCUGCAUAUAUUAAAUUUUACAAAGUGGUUAGUCUCAUGUUGAGUGUAAUUUUGGUUUCCGUCCAAGCAUCAUUCACUCUGGGCAACUAUCUUGGAGAUGUGCUAUUUUCAUUGUAGGCAGAGAUGGGGUGGGCAGCUGAGAUAACAGAAAGCUAAAUUAUGUUUACAUGUUUGUUCUCUUCCCCCUCCCGCCAGCUAACAUUCCCUUUCUUCUUCUUCACUAUGAAGCUUUUUGAAAGUGCUAUUUUGUGUUCUUGUACUUUGUUUUUGCUUUCUGUCUCUAUUUCUUAACCUCCCACCAACUCCCUCUUCCAACACUCCUGCCUGGCUUCCAUUUUAGACCCUCCAACAAAACUCUUGCUAAGGCCGUGAGUAAUGUCUAAGUGGAAAACUCCUCUAUGUUUGGUAUUGUCCAUUUUCCAAACUUUUCUGGUUUUCCUCUUUCUUUUCAAUUCAAGUCCUACUUCAUCAGAAAGCCUUCUUCCUGUGCUUCCUCAGCUGUAUUAAAUCUCCACAAUUAUAUGUUCAUGGGCCACUUGAUUAAGGUCUGCUUUCUCCACCAGACUUAAAGUUCCAUGAGAACAGGGAGUGUGUGGUGCUCACUCCUGAUACCUAGUGAUUAUGGCCCAGAGCAAGAGCAAUAGCAAUAUUCUGGAAUAGUUGUGACCUCUAAAGAAUGCUAACAUGGUAGAAAAAGGCUUUCCAGGCAUGUUGAAGGAGGGAAAACAACGUAAUCUGAAUUUUCCCUGAUUCAUAGGAGACAACUUGUUCAUCUUUUUGAAUUAAGGCCAUGCUCAGGGUAAAUUCAGAUGUGGAUGGUGAGAUAGGAAAUCAGUUCUGGAAAUCCUUAUAUAUGAGAGCAAAUCAUCACCUUAUUAUUAGUUUUUUUUCCCCUGAAAUAAUAAUGGUAAAAAUGGUUAAUAAUACAGAAUGUAGCCAGGCUCAUUCUCAUCGUAAUUUCUUUUUCCACAGAGCCAAAUUUUUAAGCAACACCAAACUGACAUAUGGAAAAUCCUCAGGUUAUAGCAAUGUGUAUUUUCCUCAGGCUGGACUAAAAACUAGUGAGACGUUCCCAUUUCAACCGACCCAUGGAUGACAAUGGAGAGGGCUUCACGUGAAUGUUGCUUCUCUGAUUGACCUGUUGGUUUUGAAAUAUUCAGAAUAACUGCAAGGAUGUUUUAAUUAUGAUAUUCAGAAUAUUCUAAGGUGAUGAAUUUAUUUAUUUAUUUUUGACUUUUAAGGAUACUUCCAGUACAUUCACUAAGCUUGAACGAGGUUUAUUAGACAUUUUCUAUUAGAGAUUCCAAAGGAAAUCAACUUAGUCAUUUGUUAAAGAUGAAUUUAUAAUUGGCAUAUCAAAACAAUUUUUGUUUUAUAUUUUCAAAAUUGUAAUUGGAGUAUAGUUGAUUUACAACAUUGUAUUAAUUUUUGGUGUAUAGCAAAGUAAUUCAGAGCUAUCUAUCUAUCUCUCAUCUACCUAUCUUCUUUUCCAUCAUGGUUACUGCAGGAUAUUGAAUAUAGUUCCCUGUGCUAUACAGUAGGACUUUAUCAAUUUUAUAUAUAGUAGUGUGUAUCUGUUAACCCCAAAUUCCUAACUCAUGCCCCCCUUUCCCCUUUCAUAACCUUAAGUUUGUUUUCUAUGUCUGUGAGUCUCUUUCUGUUUUGUAAGUUCAUUUAGAUUCCACAUAUAAAUGACAUCAUAGGGUUUUGGUCUUUUUCUCUCUGACUUACUUAGUGUGACAAUAUCUAGGUCCAUUCUUGUUGCUGCAAAUGGCAGUAUUUCAUGAUUUUUUUAUGGCUGAAUAGUACCUCAUUGUGUCCUUUGACCCUGUAGCAGGGAUGGCAAAGAAGCUCCUCCAUGGGCCCAGGUAUUGACCUUGGUGGGCUGUGAUGCAGCAGGCAUGUUGAAGCCAGGAGUGGGUUCUGGGGUGGUGGUACACUCUGGGUUGAUCUUUAAUUUUGUAUACAGACCCUCUGUUUCAACCACUAACCAUCCAGUGCCUCAUUCUAUUCUGGAGGAUAUAUAGGGAGGAAAUUAGGAUGUUUUAGGGAGAAGGCAAAGAGAGAGGAAAGGGAGAGAGAGAUGCAUAAUUUUAGGGGAAGACACAACAGAAGUAGAGAAGACUCAUGGAGAGAGAAAGAAUAAAGGCAUCAGGACAAACAAUCCAGAGUGAGACUUGAAUUAAAUGACAUAUGGAAACUUCCUGGCAUCUAGGCAUCCAGGACUCCCAACAUUUUGGCUUCCUUGCUCAUUCCUUCCAUUUGGGAGCAAGAAGUGGUGUUCCAUUUAUGUAUGUUUGCUGGGACCAACAUGUAAUGAGUCCAAUAAAAUGAUUUUUUUGAAUUUUUGAAACCAAAGUAUAAUUGAUUUGCAAUAUUACGUUACAGAUGCAUGACAUACUGAUUUCAAUAAGAUUUUUAAAAAUACAAUCAUUCCAAGGUUUAUGUUCAGCUGUCAUAGUUCACAUAAUUAUGUGGUAUUUUAUGUACAGAUUUCUCUAGGCGUGGCUUUCUUCUCUAUAUAAAAUGCAGAAGGAUAAAUGUGGUUUAUAUUUUGAAGAUUGUGUCUCUUUUCCUCUUUAGGACUUCUUGAAACAAAAGUCAGAAAAGAGAUAGUGUAUGAAGUUUACCAAGUUUUGACCAUACCCAUUUCAUAUAUUUGAACACACUGACGUUGCAAUAUGGCAAUUAAAAUAGUUGUUUUCGAGUCUAAAAAGUUAUAUUUUUGAGUUAUGAGGGAAAAUUGUUAAAGUAGUCCAGAUGAAUUUAGCAUUUUAAAAAGUCUAGAUUGCUUUUGCCUAAGUUGCAAAAGGUAAAAUUUUAAUAAUACAAAGCAGCUGCCUUGCAAGUGGCGUGCACCAUACCAGCUUCUGUCCUUACUGUUGUACAAUGGGUUUAUUUUUAGUAACAUAACAUGUUUAUUAUUCAUUUAAAGUGAUUGUAAAAGCAAAUCUUGAAUAGAUACUUGGAGCAUGCAUAUAAAUUCUCUACGAGUUUUUGUUCUGUGCACAUUGUCUUGAGUAAUGCUUUUUAUUGGUGUAUUUGUUCUUAAGACAUUUACGGUGUUCAAUACCAUUACUUUCACUUGUGUGCCUUAUAAUGUCAGAUGCUCUGAAUUAAAACUGUGGUUGGUAAUUACAUAGUUCUUUGAAUUUGUAAGCUAAGUUUGCAAACUGUGGUCUUUAUGAGAAAGAGUUGGAUAACAUUUUCAGACUUGGCAGAAAUAGAGAAUGUCCUUUUAUAUAAAAAGGCCCACAGAAGCAUUAAUAAAAAAGGAUGAACAGCUGCGAGAAUGAUUCCAACCAAAUAAUCUGUUUUUCUUUGGAAUAAAAAAUCGUGUUUUGCUUUUCAAAGAGCUAAAUCCAUGAGUAGGACUCAGUAACAGUUUAACCAAUUCUCUGUACCUGUGGUGCAGUCCAAGGCAUGCCAGGCAAUUAUUUCAUGCUUGGCAUAAUUGCAGGUCCUUGAAAUCUGAGGUCUGUCAAACCUCUGCCAGGGUUGUCUUUUAUCUCCUUGGAUGGUUAGCAUGGCCAGUUGGCACUUCCACCUUUUGGGCUAUUUUGAUUUUGUAGUUUCCGGCAAGAGUACCAUUAGUACUUUUUUCCCUUCAUCUUCUUAAUGACUUAAUAGAAUCCCAGGAGUUUUUAAUGGGUGCUAGGAACUUAGGAAAGAAGACAGUGAUC
rnacentral:lncRNA from 1 species